rnacentral:rRNA from 1 species
UACGUAGGGGGCAAGCGUUGUCCGGAUUUAUUGGGCGUAAAGAGCGUGUAGGCGGCCUGAAAGGUCAGCUGUGAAAACUCGAGGCUCAACCUCGAGACGUCGGUUGAAACCAUCUGGCUAGAGUCCGGAAGAGGAGUGUGGAAUUCCCGGUGUAGCGGUGAAAUGCGCAGAUAUCAGGAGGAACACCGGUGGCGAAGGCGGUGUCCUGGGCCGAUCCUGACGCUGAGGAGCGAAAGCUGGGGGAGCAAACAGG